rnacentral:lncRNA from 1 species
AAGUAGUGGUGGCGCCUGGUAGGACUAGAAGGCGCGGAGGCUGCAAAGAUCGGAUGGUUGAAGGAGUUGACUAUAGUUGCAUUGUUAGCAAGGGAUGCAUUGGAAUUUCUGGUGGGAGAAGAGAGCGGAGGAGUUACUGGGGCACUGUUGGAUAUCCUAAGAGGAGGCAAGUUUGUGGGGAUUGAAGCUAUGUUACGGAGUAAAGGAAGGAGGUAUGCUGAUGGGUUGGCUUCAAAACGAGAAGGACUUGGGAAUGAUGAUGAUGUUGGGCUAGCUUGGUAGGAAAUCACCGGACUUUGGAAGUUUGAAGUUUGUGGACUUGGCUGAAUGGAUGAACCUCCGCUAAAGCUUAGUGGAGUUCCUGCAAUUUCACCAGGCAGCGGCUUGCACCCCUGAGAACAGAUCAUAAAACAUCAAUCAUCACCAAGACAGUAUAUUCAACCAAAUUGGGAUCUCCAAAAUCAUUACAAUAAGAUUAAUCUAGAUGCCAAACAGAUGUUAUGCAGAUUCAGAUUUCCUUUCGGAGAAACACAGAGACAGCCAUUGAAUGAAGUUAUAUCAGGCUAAUCUGAUUCAAUAAUGGAGCAGCAAUGAUUGUGAUUAAGAGUAAGCAUUUAAGGAAUACAGAAACAGAAACGAGGCAAAACCUUGCGGUAAGUAGUACCGUCUUCUUCAACGAAUUUCUCUUCUUCCUCCUCACACUGACGAACCCAACAAUUUUGAAACCCUUUUGUUCAAGUUUGCAUCUUGCCCUUCUUCUUUUUCGUCUUCUUCUUCUCCUUCUCCAACCCACUGAGAAGAGUCGAAGAAAGAUUACUGUGCUGAAUAGGAAAUCAGAGAAUCACAAGUUAGAAAUCGAGAGAGAAAUGAAAGUUCGAAGAAAUUGGGUUCAUUUUGUGCCGAUUGGAAAAGGAUUAAUUUUUACCAGUAUAAAGCAAAAUGAAUGCGCAGUGAGUGUCGCUCUCUCCAGCCUCUCCCUUCAAACUAUUGGUAGGGAAGAAUCUGCUUAUUCACUUCUGAGUUCUUUCUGACUGCCAUCUCGCUCAUUUGUUUACAGAAUUUACCAUUUUUUGCCACUGCUUCGACAUUUUUACUUGUAAGUAACUUUGAGAUAAUAUUAUUUUUCUAUUUUUUAUUUUACCAAAAUAACAAUUAGACCUCUAUAUUAUUAAAUAUUAUUUUCCCUCUUUUAUUUUACCAAUUUGCUAAAUAUUUUCUUUUGUUAUUAUUGCCGUCCAUAUUUCGUUAAAUCAUGUUGAAUUAUUAUGACACGUCAGCCUCAUAUGCCACAUGGCCUAUGACUGGAUUUUUGUUAUUUUAUUAUUUUUAACAAAAUAAUUUUUAUUUUUAACAUAUUAGAUUGAUGUGUAAUUGAAUCUUUUUUAUAUAUUCAGAUUGACAAAUAAAAAUAUAAUAUUGUAUGUAUCAAUAUAAAAAUCAUCAAUAAAUUUUCAUCAAUCAUCAAAUAAAACCAUGUAAUUCACAAAGUAAACUUCAUAAUUUUCUAAAAUUAUUGAAAAUAAUAUUUCCAAACAUGUUACUAGUUAGAAGUGAACAUCUGUUUCUGUUAUUAGCACUAUAGACAUUCAUAUCAGGGGGGAAUGCUUGAUGUGUAUGGUAAGAUCCUUAGAGAAGAAAUGGAAACUGGAAUGCCUCUACUCAUACUGUCAAUACACAUAAUCAAGGAUGGGAUAGAGUGUAUACAACCUUACCAAAUCACUUUGAUCUCAGUCGCAUACUAAUGAUCAUCAGCAGCCAGUAAUUCUAGAAAACAAAGUACUCCAGCUGCUGCUAUGGCUUCAGCCUUUCAGGUGGAACUGUACAAUCUGAAUACAAAGAACAGGAACAUGAAACCAGAAUCCUAACCCCGCGCCUUUCCGCUUGCAAGCGUGAGUUCGAGAUCAUCCGUGCCCAUCUCGUGUAUCCGCUCACCUUCCCAAGGCUUGACCUUUCUAUUCCCGAACUCGAACUCAGAGCUUCUCACAUUGUCAACUCCACUCGCAGCAGCAUUUACAUUCGCUCCCACCACGGGUCUAACGAGGUUGAAAGUAGGGGAAACGGGGAUCGUUUGGGAAGAAGGAACACCUUGGAAAGACAGCCACCGGCCAGAAUCGAUAAUGGAGCCAUCAGAUUCAUCGCAUUCGGGUAUGGGUUGGAAGUAGUGGUGGCGCCUGGUAGGACUAGAAGGCGCGGAGGCUGCAAAGAUCGGAUGGUUGAAGGAGUUGACUAUAGUUGCAUUGUUAGCAAGGGAUGCAUUGGAAUUUCUGGUGGGAGAAGAGAGCGGAGGAGUUACUGGGGCACUGUUGGAUAUCCUAAGAGGAGGCAAGUUUGUGGGGAUUGAAGCUAUGUUACGGAGUAAAGGAAGGAGGUAUGCUGAUGGGUUGGCUUCAAAACGAGAAGGACUUGGGAAUGAUGAUGAUGUUGGGCUAGCUUGGUAGGAAAUCACCGGACUUUGGAAGUUUGAAGAUUGUGGACUUGGUUGAAUGGAUGAACCUCCGCUAAAGCUUAGUGGAGUUCCUGCAAUUUCACCAGGCAGCG